rnacentral:rRNA from 1 species
GACGAACGCUGGCGGCGUGCUUAACGCAUGCAAGUCGAACGGAAAGGCCCUGCUUUUGUGGGGUGCUCGAGUGGCGAACGGGUGAGUAACACGUGAGUAACCUGCCCUUGACUUUGGGAUAACUUCAGGAAACUGGGGCUAAUACCGGAUAGGAGCUCCUGCUGCAUGGUGGGGGUUGGAAAGUUUCGGCGGUUGGGGAUGGACUCGCGGCUUAUCAGCUUGUUGGUGGGGUAGUGGCUUACCAAGGCUUUGACGGGUAGCCCGCCUGAGAGGGUGACCGGCCACAAUGGGACUAAGAUACGGCCCAGACGCCUACGGGAGGCAGCAGGGGGGAAUAUGGCACAAUGGGCGGAAGCCUGAUGCAGCAACGCCGCGUGCGGGAUGACGGCCUUCGGGUUGUAAACCGCUUUCGCCUGUGACGAAGCGUGAGUGACGGUAAUGGGUAAAGAAGCACCGGCUAACUACGUG